UACGAGGGGGGCAAGCGUUGUUCGGAAUUAUUGGGCGUAAAGGGCGCGUAGGCGGUGUGGCAAGUCAGGUGUGAAACCUCCAGGCUUAACUUGGAGCUGGCAUCUGAAACUGCCGUGCUAGAGUGUGGGAGAGGAGAGUGGAAUUCCUGGUGUAGCGGUGAAAUGCGUAGAUAUCAGGAGGAACACCGGUGGCGAAGGCGGCUCUCUGGACCACAACUGACGCUGAGGCGCGAAAGCUAGGGGAGCAAACAGG
rnacentral:rRNA from 1 species